rnacentral:rRNA from 1 species
GACGAACGCUGGCGGCGUGCCUAAUACAUGCAAGUCGAACGAACCGCGACUAGGUGCUUGCACUUGGUCAAGGUGAGUGGCGAACGGGUGAGUAACACGUGGGUAACCUACCUCAUAGUGGGGGAUAACAGUCGGAAACGACUGCUAAUACCGCAUAGGACAUAGGAUCACAUGAUCCAGUGAGGAAAGGUGGCGCAAGCUAUCGCUAAGAGAUGGACCCGCGGUGCAUUAGCUAGUUGGUAGGGUAAAGGCCUACCAAGGCGAUGAUGCAUAGCCGACCUGAGAGGGUGAUCGGCCGCAUUGGGACUGAGACACGGCCCAAACUCCUACGGGAGGCAGCAGUGGGGAAUCUUCCGCAAUGGACGCAAGUCUGACGGAGCAACGCCGCGUGAGUGAAGAAGGUCUUCGGAUCGUAAAGCUCUGUUGUUAGAGAAGAACAGCGCAUAGAGUAACUGUUAUGCGUGUGACGGUAUCUAACCAGAAAGCCACGGCUAACUACGUG